rnacentral:rRNA from 1 species
UACGGGGGGGGGCAAGCGUUGUUCGGAAUUACUGGGCGUAAAGGGCUCGUAGGCGGCCAACUAAGUCGGACGUGAAAUCCCCAGGCUCAACCUGGGAACUGCGUCCGAUACUGGAUGGCUUGAAUCCGGGAGAGGGAUGCAGAAUUCCAGGUGUAGCGGUGAAAUGCGUAGAUAUCUGGAGGAAUACCGGUGGCGAAGGCGGCAUCCUGGACCAAUAUUGACGCUGAGGAGCGAAAGCGUGGGGAGCGAACAGG